GUGGAGACUGCCGGUGUCAAACCGGAGGAAGGUGGGGAUGGACGUCAAGUCCUCAUGGCCCUUAUGACCAGGGCUACACACGUGCUACAAUGGCCGGUACAAAGGAGUUGCGAUACCGCGAGGUGGGAGCUAAUCUCAUAAAGCCGGUCUCAGUUCGGAUUGGAGUCUGCAACUCGACUCCAUGAAGUUGGAAUCGCUAGUAAUCGCGGAUCAGCAUGCCGCGGUGAAUACGUUCCCGGGCCUU
rnacentral:rRNA from 1 species